rnacentral:rRNA from 1 species
GACGAACGCUGGCGGCGUGCCUAAUACAUGCAAGUCGAGCGGACGAAUCGAAAGCUUGCUUUUGAUUCGUUAGCGGCGGACGGGUGAGUAACACGUGGGCAACCUGCCCUGUAGACGGGGAUAACACCGAGAAAUCGGUGCUAAUACCGGAUAACACGAAAUGUCGCAUGACGUUUCGUUGAAAGACGGCGCAAGCUGUCGCUACAGGAUGGGCCCGCGGCGCAUUAGCUAGUUGGUGAGGUAACGGCUCACCAAGGCGACGAUGCGUAGCCGACCUGGGAGGGUGAUCGGCCACACUGGGACUGAGACACGGCCCAGACUCCUACGGGAGGCAGCAGUAGGGAAUCUUCCGCAAUGGACGAAAGUCUGACGGAGCAACGCCGCGUGAGCGAAGAAGGCCUUCGGGUCGUAAAGCUCUGUUGUUAGGGAAGAACAAGUAACGCAGUAACUGGCGUUACCGUGACGGUACCUAACGAGAAAGCCACGGCUAACUACGUG